rnacentral:rRNA from 1 species
CAAAUCAGGUAGGACUACCCGCUGAACUUAAGCAUAUCAAUAAGCGGAGGAAAAGAAACUAACAAGGAUUCCCCUAGUAACUGCGAGUGAAGCGGGAAAAGCUCAAAUUUAAAAUCUGGUGGUCCUUGUGGCCAUCCGAGUUGUAAUCUAGAGAAGUGCUAUCCGCGCUGGACCGUGUACAAGUCUCCUGGAACGGAGCGUCAUAGAGGGUGAGAAUCCCGUCUUUGACACGGACUACCAGGGCUUUGUGAUGUGCUCUCAAAGAGUCGAGUUGUUUGGGAAUGCAGCUCUAAAUGGGUGGUAAAUUCCAUCUAAAGCUAAAUAUUGGCGAGAGACCGAUAGCGAACAAGUACCGUGAGGGAAAGAUGAAAAGAACUUUGGAAAGAGAGUUAAACAGUACGUGAAAUUGUUGAAAGGGAAACGCUUGAAGUCAGUCGCGUUGUCCGGGGAUCAACCUUGCUCUUUUGCUUGGCGUACUUUCCGGUUAACGGGUCAGCAUCAAUUUUGACCGAUGGAUAAAGGUCAGGGGAAUGUGGCAUCUUCGGAUGUGUUAUAGCCCUUGGUUGCAUACAUCGGUUGGGAUUGAGGAACUCAGCACGCCGCAAGGCCGGGUCUUUGACCACGUACGUGCUUAGGAUGCUGGCAUAAUGGCUUUAAUCGACCCGUCUUGAAACACGGACCAAGGAGUCUAACAUGCCCGCGA